UACGGGGGGGGCAAGCGUUGUUCGGAAUUACUGGGCGUAAAGAGCGCGCAGGCGGUCGUUCAAGUCGAGUGUGAAAGCCCCCGGCUCAACUGGGGAGGGUCACUCGAUACUGAUCGACUCGAAGGCAGGAGAGGGUAGUGGAAUUCCCGGUGUAGUGGUGAAAUGCGCAGAUAUCAGGAGGAACACCAAUGGCGAAGGCAGCUCGCUGGGACGUGACUGACGCUGGAGACGCGAAAGCGUGGGUAGCAAACAGG
rnacentral:rRNA from 1 species